rnacentral:sRNA from 1 species
UUUUUUUUCUCUUCUUCUCUAACA